GUGACCAUAGCUCAAUUGGCAGAGCACCUGGUUGUGGCCCAGGAGGUCGUGGGUUCAAGCCCCACUGGUCACCCCA
rnacentral:tRNA from 1 species